GAUGAUACCAAAAUUUGGGGUGAGGUGAGCAUGCUAGUAAGGAGGGAAAGACUACAGCAACACCUGGAGAGGUUACAGGGGUGGGUUAACAAAAACAGGAUGCAUUUUAGUACUGACGAGCGCAGGGUGCUGCACUUGGGCAGUAGAAACCAGCAGUACACUUAUAGAAUGGGAAACUCCUUUCUUGAGAGCAUGGAGGAAGAAAGGGAUCUUGGAGUCAUUAUUGACUCCAAGACGAAUGUGGGCCGACAAUGCGAGGUCACGGUUGGCAGGACUAACCAGACCUUGUCGUACACCCACAGGCACAUCUCAAGUAGGGCCAAGGAGGUGAUCCUCCCCCUCUGCGCAACACUGGUCAGACCACAGCUGGAGUACUGUGUCCAGUUCUGUGCGUCCCACUUCAAGAGGGAUGUGGGCAACAUGGAGAGGGUCCAGAGGAGGGCCACCCACAUGAUCCAGGGACAACAAAGCAGACCCUACAAUGAAAGACUGCGGGACCUGAACCUGUUCAGCCUUCACAAGAGAAGGCUGAGGGGGGACCUGGUGACCAUCUAUAAAUUCACUAGGGGGGACCAGAAGCGUUUGGGAGAGACCUUGUUUCCCCUAGUGCCCCCUGGCAUGACAAGGAAUAAUGGCCACAAGUUGUUGGAGAGUAGGUUUAGAUUAGACAUCUAUAAGAACUACUUCACGGUCAGGGUGGCUAGGAUCUGGAACCAACUUCCAAGGGAAGUGGUGCUGGCUCCUACCUGGCUGAAGUCAUUUGAGCCCAGUUUUCUCCUGCCCAGGCAGGGGAUUGGACUUGAAGAUCUACAAGAUCCCUUCCGAAUGGACUUCUAUGAUUCUAUGAGACCAGGCAGAUUUAGACCUGCUGAGUCCUGUGCAGGCCAACUACUAUACCUCCCACAGCCUAUUAAAGAUGGUUUCCAACAGAAGUUUAUCACUGGCACAGCAUUUGUUGACCUACCUGCAGCACACGAUACUAUCCAACACUGCAUUAUGAUCCAUAAACUGUAUCUUAUGACUGGCAACUUAGAUCUAAACCAAACUAUUCAUAGCCACUUGAAGAACUGGUCUUUCUAUAUGGAAUUAAAUGGCCAGAAAAGUAGCUGACAAUUCCAAAAGAACAGCUUACCAAAAGAAGACAGUGUGCUCGUCCCACUUUUAUUCAACAUUUACAUUAAUGAUCAGCCACUUCCUGCUGAAUGUUAGGUAUUUCAUCUGUGCUGACAACCUUUGGAUUGCCACGCAGCAAAAAAAUGUUGAGGACACAGAAGAUCCUGGAGAGGGCACUGAAUGAGAUUAGAGAUCAGAUUGUUGCUUAAAUAAUUAUCUCAAACCCUACCCUAGUAAAUCCUGAAUCUGUGCUUUCCAUCUGAGAUGGAAUGCAGAAUGACACCUGAAUGUCAUCUGAAGUCAUCAGAGUCUCAAAAAUACCUAGUCUACUUAAGGAUAACACUGGACUGUACACCUAGUUACAAAACACGCAUAUUAAAU
rnacentral:lncRNA from 1 species